GGAGAUUUCUCAACAAAGAAAAAUAAAACUAUCAUUUCAAAGGCCCAAAGCGGGUGUUGAUACUAUGUGAUUUCUGUCCAGUUCUCUGAAUGUCAAAGUGAAGAAAUUCAAUGAACAUGAGUAAAUGGUGGGAAUAACUAUGACCCUCUUAAGGUAGCCAAAUGCUAGUCACCUAAUUAAUGACAUGCAUGAGGGGAUAAAGGAAAUUCCC
rnacentral:ncRNA from 1 species